CUUUAGAUCGGUUAAGGAAGAGGAGGGGAAGAAGAAUAAGAAGGUUGCACCGAUUGCCAGCAUGAUCGCUAUAAGGCCACCAGCGGGCCAACCUACUUCAGAGCAUGAUAGACCGAUACAUGGUUUUUUGUAGGACGACACUAAAGCGGAUUAGGUGGAACAGCAGCAGGUAGGUUGUUCCCUUGAGGGGUGGCAGGUGCCGAACCAGACUACCCUGCUUGCCUCUGUUUUUCUGAGACAACACUCAUCGUCCUCACAUCUUUGAAUACUGUCCUGCUAAUCGGCCGCUCUUUUUUCUCUCCAUGUUGCACGAUUAUAUACGAUUAUAUAGUUGCACGGACUGGAAUUUAAAUGAUCUUUGCAAUGGCAUAAGAGCGUUUCAGAAGAAUAAGAAAAGCUUUAAAUAACCACAUAUAAUAUUAUUCGUUGGAAUAUAUGACCAUAGCAAUACAGUCAUAUAGCAAUAGUCGAUAUAGAAAAGUGUUAUUAUUAUGCGCCCAAAUAUAUAAAA